GUAAUUCAUUGUUUCCUUUAAUCGCAGUUGUCUAAUGUAAUAUUGGUUGUCGUUGUGUAAUGUAGAUAUUUGUUAUCCAUCAUAAGAGGUUUUAUUUUAAUAUUGUUUUAAUUUAACUAGAUUCUGGAAAAAAGGGCGUCGCUAGGUCGCAGUGCGGUCCACGUGUUACAGGCCUCGAACAUGCGCUAAAAUUAAUAAUUAAAUGCUAAUAUGCUUCAACUAGGUUUCGAAGGAAAUAUUUUAAUAUUAAUCUGACUAAACCAAUUAAUUAACGUUUAAUUCAGUAGUGGUCCACGUGGUUGGUAGGGACAUCUGAGAAUAUAUGAUGAGUACCAACAUCUCUGAUGUGCAUGGUUCUGCCUGCAAUAUUUUGUUUAAUGUAACUUGCAAAGCCUUUGAGUGUUUCGCUCUCUCUCUGUCUCUUUCUCCAGUAUCCGGGGUAUUGAUUGAUUGAACGCGCGAGACGACUGGUAUGUGAACCUUAAGUUUAUUUUAAGUCUAUUCUGGAUGGUUUACUUGCUUAUGAUGAAUAAAAUGCAUAAGAGUAGUGGACAGGAGUGGUUUCUGAAAACUUUUACACUGAAGCAUUGUAAAGUUUUUAUUCGAGGAUGUAAUGUUGACGUUUCAGUUUUAUAACCGGCUUUUUUUGCUUGCAGGACUCUGGAGCGGAUCUGGAGAAGUGUGUCCAAGGAAUGUGGUGUGACUCUGGAACACCGUGUCAAAGGUAUAUAGUUUGUCGUGCUUUAAUGUGUAUAAGUGUGUAUGAUGAUCAUAUUUGCUACUCUUGAGUUUACGCUGACGAAACUGCAACCACCAAGAUACCUUAUCUGAUGCACAGCAUUUGAAUAUCAAAGGUAUUGUGUGUUUGUGCUCUUGUUAAUAUUUGCCCCUUUUUGUAUUCAUAGGAACAUGUGCAGUGAAGUUGAUUUGAAAGGUUGUUUUAGAUCCUGGCACGAGCGAUGAAGAUGCCAUCAGCUGAGCACGCAUGAGUUCUGCAGGGGUGCAAGCAUCUCUGAAUGAGUUCUACAGGGGUGGAAGUGUUUACUUUAAUUCUGGCUGUGGAAAGAUCAGCAGCUGUCUGAAUGUUCUUCAGGGUAAGUGGUUAACUUGAAUUGUGAAUGGAACCAAGGUGGUCUCAAACUGAUGAGUUCGAAUCAGGUCUCUGAUCUUUUUGAGGACAUGUUAACACAUUCUGACUUAAGACCACAUAAUGGUGCAUUUUAACUCCUUAAAAGCAGGAUGGUGAGUUUAAUUGUCCUUUUGUGUCUUUUAGGACUGAUCGGCAUGAUGUGCUGAUGGGAGUCACUGUGCGGUGGUGACUGCUCCUUCAUGCUGUGUGAAUAUGAAUGCGGCAUGCACUUGUAAAGGAAGCACAAUAUCCAGGACGGCUCUGGAAAAACCAGAUUGUAUAAGGUGUGUUGCCUGCAUCCGACUCUUCUGAACUAUAUUCCAGAGCUUCGGUUCUUGUAUUGUUUUCUGAUUUGAAGUCACUUGUCUCUUUGCAGCAAUUAAGUGACAUUUAAAUGCCGUCAUCUACAUUUGUUAUAACUAGGCCAAGUUUGUAAAGUGUCCUUACUUCAAUAAAGUUGUAAAAUCAAAGGUCUUUCAAGUUUAUAAGGUUGUUGAUGUGUGAUUGUUUGGUUAAUCUCUUAU
ensembl:lncRNA